GUUUCUUUGAAGCAAAGAUGUAUAGAAUAGCACUGAAAGUCGGAGGUGUCAUAUUUGUUCAACCUGGUGUUAAACGUAAUUUCAAUUCUUGACCAGUGCAUGUAAAGAAAUUGAAAAUAAAACCAACUUGACUUGACUUGUCAUUGGGUCUGAUUUUAAAUGUGCCAUAUAGUUCAAUGUGGGAGCAGGUUCACACACUAAAUAAGACACUAAGGUCAAGCACAAGCAGAUUUUUUUUUUUUAACAAUUCUCAGAGCAGAUUAGAGCAGACGUUUCAGGUUGCUGCCAUCAGAGAGUAGUGACUUGACCUUAGUGUCUUUAGUGUGCUCCCACAUUGAACUCUACUUUUUGGGUCCAUGCACCUACUUAUUUCUAAACAUCUAGAGCGCAACAAUACCCCUGCCUCCUGAUGUGCCAUAUAACCUGUAUCUCUCCAAGUGUGUGUGUGUGUGUGUGUGUGUGUGUGUGUGUGUGUGUGUGUGUGUGAGAGAGAGAGAAUGUGUGCAUGCAGAUAUAAGAAGUUGGGGUUGAUGAUCCACAUGAUGGUGAUGGACCAGGACAGCUCUGGACCUCCUGACUGGCAGCUCCAUCCUCAACCUCUCUUCCUGCCCUUCACACAUGUGCAGGCAGCCAGUUUUCUGAAAGAUGGUUGAUGUCAGUACCAACAUGUUGUGAUGGAGGCUUCCACCUGAGCUGAACACAGAAACUUGCACACAGUGAUGGAAGCAGUCGUUCCUGUUCAGCAUCGAUAUGCCAGUAAUGGGUUUGAUGAGCCACAGCAUGGGUAUGGGCAAUCAGCAUCAGGACCAGGGCAGCUCACAAGGAGAACCUCCUGCCCUGCCUCGUCAUCCUCACCCUCCCAUCUCCCUGCUCUUCACACAUGUGCAGGUGAGGCCAACCUCUAAAAUGCACACUUGACUUGAGGCAAAGGGGGGAGAAUAGGCCUGCGUGCCUGCGUGCGUGCGUGCCUGC